CAAUGUGCCUCUGAUGUAGCACCAGGCAAACCUUUGGCUAGUGUAUAUCAUCUUACAAGAAUACAGUAUGUUGUGGAUCGACCAGAAGAGGUAUGCAUAAAAGUUUUUGCCUCAAGGAGGAAUCUUAGAAUUCUGUCUGUUUUCUAGAUUUGGAUAAGUGCGGAUUUUAAAGAACGGGAAUCUUAUGAUAUGUUGGGAAUCUCUUAUGAUAAUCAUCCACGCCUGAAAUGAAU